GUCUAGGGCUAUGCCACCCUGAACGUGCCGGAUCUCUUCUGAUCUUGGAAGCUUAAGCAGGGUGGAGCCUGGUUAGUACUAGAAUGGGAGGCCACCUAGGAAUACCAGGUGCUGUAAGCA
rnacentral:rRNA from 1 species